rnacentral:rRNA from 1 species
UACGAAGGGGGCUAGCGUUGCUCGGAAUCACUGGGCGUAAAGCGCACGUAGGCGGAUUGCUAAGUCAGGGGUGAAAUCCUGGAGCUCAACUCCAGAACUGCCCUUGAUACUGGCGGUCUCGAGUCCGGGAGAGGUGAGUGGAACUGCGAGUGUAGAGGUGAAAUUCGUAGAUAUUCGGAAGAACACCAGUGGCGAAGGCGGCUCACUGGACUGGUAUUGACGCUGAGGUGCGAAAGCGUGGGGAGCAAACAGG